GCAGGUUUUACCUUCCAACACCUGUGUUUUUUUAGACUGAAGGAACAUGUCAACGUAGCACUCAAUGCCUCAUGGCACAGAACUGCUUUCUUACCUUAAAAAAAAACGUCUCAGUGGAGCUUUCAGAGGCUUUUGGAACCACACAAACCAUCAGAAUUUCAAUGUGAUGUUUGAAGUGAAGCCAGCACACCUUACACUACCCUUCAAGAUGGAUUUUGCUACCUGCCGAGUGCGUACGGAAUGACAGACCGCUGACUCUGUACCACAAGGUGCUGCUGGUACUUUGUCGGACCCCCAGAGUGGGUCUAGCAGGGCCCUGUGGCUCAUUAUUUAUCCACUGAGCUCCAGUCUUUUGCUGAUUGGGGUCCUUAGGGAGCCAUUACAGCAGACGAUCUGUCCCAACCAGCCACCGGAUUCAUCCAUCAUGCAAAACUGGAGCACUGGCAGGCUGUGCGCACCCUCGGAAUUACACAAGCUUCAGUCUGGAUUCAACCCUUAAAAAAUCUGAGAUGACCAAACACCUGAGAAGUGCUGAUGCCAACCCCUCAGAGGACCUCAGAUGAUGCUAACCCUGAAACAACACAUAGAACUACCAAAUUUUGCAUUAAGUUUGAUUGCAACAUAUAAUCAUUGCUGUUAAUAGUGUUCAUCGUCUGUUUGAUUACGUCAUUAACUGAUUUUUACCGUACAUUUUUGCCAUAUGUACAUCAACUUGACAUAGUUGAUUCUAAUAGUUGAUUUAGGAUAAACAGACCAAUUCAAAAAUCAUUUACUUUUUUGUAUAAUGAAAUAUUUAGUGAAAUAUUGUUGUUCAUUAUUUUGUUUUUGAGAGUAAGUUUAAAGUUAUAGAAUUAUUUUGUUACAGCAGAAAUUUAUACUCAAUUUAUUGGUGUCACCCU